rnacentral:rRNA from 1 species
UACGGGGGGGCAAGCGUUGUUCGGAAUUACUGGGCGUAAAGGGCUCGUAGGCGGCCAACUAAGUCAGACGUGAAAUCCCUCGGCUUAACCGGGGAACUGCGUCUGAUACUGGAUGGCUAGAGGUUGGGAGAGGGAUGCGGAAUUCCAGGUGUAGCGGUGAAAUGCGUAGAUAUCGAGAGGAACACCUGCGGCGAAGGCGGGUUGCUGGGCUGACACUGACGCUGACAGCGCGAAAGCUAGGGGAGCGAACGGG